rnacentral:lncRNA from 1 species
UUAUUCUAGCGCCUAUAUCUCAAAAACGUUCACCAAAACCCCCUGCAUCCGCUUGUUUUUACCAUCUAAAGAGAAACAUAUAUCUGAGAUGUCUUAUGUUAGGAUAUUCUGGCCAUCUUCCAACACUUUCAGUCGAGUAUCCACCAUAGUUCACAGAAUUAAAAGUACCAAAUAGAGCUAAGCAGAUUUUAACCACAAGAAAUAAG